GACGAACGCUGGCGGCGUGCUUAACACAUGCAAGUCGAACGGAAAGGCCUCUUUCGGGGGGUACUCGAGUGGCGAACGGGUGAGUAACACGUGAGUAACCUGCCCUUGACUUUGGGAUAACUUCAGGAAACUGGGGCUAAUACCGGAUAGGAGCUCCUGCUGCAUGGUGGGGGUUGGAAAGUUUCGGCGGUUGGGGAUGGACUCGCGGCUUAUCAGCUUGUUGGUGGGGUAGUGGCUUACCAAGGCUUUGACGGGUAGCCGGACUGAGAGGGUGACCGGCCACAUUGGGACUGAGAUACGGCCCAGACUCCUACGGGAGGCAGCAGUGGGGAAUAUUGCACAAUGGGUGGAAGCCUGAUGCAGCAACGCCGUGUGCGGGAUGACGGCCUUCGGGUUGUAAACCGCUUUCGCUCAUGACGAAGCUUUGUGUGACGGUAGUGGGUAAAGAAGCACCGGCUAACUACGUG
rnacentral:rRNA from 1 species